GACGAACGCUGGCGGCGUGCCUAAUACAUGCAAGUGGGACGCAAGGGAACACACUGUGCUUGCACACCGUGUUUUCUUGAGUCGCGAACGGGUGAGUAACGCGUAGGUAACCUGCCUAUUAGCGGGGGAUAACUAUUGGAAACGAUAGCUAAUACCGCAUAAUAUUAAUUAUUGCAUGAUAAUUGAUUGAAAGAUGCAAGCGCAUCACUAGUAGAUGGACCUGCGUUGUAUUAGCUAGUUGGUAAGGUAAGAGCUUACCAAGGCGACGAUACAUAGCCGACCUGAGAGGGUGAUCGGCCACACUGGGACUGAGACACGGCCCAGACUCCUACGGGAGGCAGCAGUAGGGAAAUGUUGGCA
rnacentral:rRNA from 1 species